rnacentral:rRNA from 1 species
UACAGAGGGUGCAAGCGUUAAUCGGAACUACUGGGCGUAAAGCGUGCGUAGACGGUUAUGUAAGUUAGGUGUGAAAGCCCCGGGCUCAACCUGGGAAUUGCAUUUAAGACUGCAUAGCUAGGGUGCGGAAGAGGGAAGCGGAAUUUCCGGUGUAGCGGUGAAAUGCGUAGAUAUCGGAAGGAACAUCAGUGGCGAAAGCGGCUUCCUGGUCCAGCACCGACGUUCAGGCACGAAAGCGUGGGGAGCAAACAGG